AUGAAAAGUGAAUUUAUAAAUAUCAACAAUUUCUCUGGUUCAUCUAAUUUACAUAUGAAAUUAAAUCAAGGAAUCAUGCUUACAAAUAUAUUAAUAGCUUUUGUAAUCUGCAAAACUCUUUUCAACAGAUUACCAUCUGCUCUAAAAGCUAUUUAUCAUGCUAAAUGCCAUUUGUAUAUCACAACCUAUCCAUGCAACCAUUACUCUGGUGCCCUAAGCAAAGCCCCUCAUACAGGUCCACUGCUCUUGCCAAGUUUGGGACAGCCUGAUAAGAGCCCUAACCCUUCCAGUGGCCAGGUUCUGUAUAUCAGGGAGGUGCCAUAAGCUCAUCCUGCUCCAGGCUCCAAUGGUCUGAUAAAGUCGAAGGGCAACACUGGCCCCUAAUCAGUUAAAGCCCUGUAUUUCAGUGGAGAAGCCAAAACUGCGAUGGAAACUUUGUGAUUUGGCAUUGGUGCACACACAGAAAGGCUGUUAUUUUUGCAGUUGCACAUGUUGCAGAUUGUUUAAGCGUGUAUGAAAGUUGAAGCUCAUCGCUGAUCAGUGCAAAAUGCUGUUUUCUGUUGCUUGCUAUAGACUCUGAAGAGAGCUGAGUCACAGGACAAGGGUUAUAUUUUCAGGAAGUUAUGAGAUUAUGAUCUCACAGUUCAGUCUGUAUUCCAUUACAUCAUUCUUUGAACACUUUAUCACCCACUUUACCCAGUAGUGUCUUCUAUACCAAUUUGUUUUUCAGUACUGUGAGGUUUUGAGAACAAAAAUACAAAGCUUUCUUAAGAUCAGCAAGCUUUAAAAAGGAAAGGAUGUUUUAUUUUAAUUUUUUAAACAAAUUAGCUUUGACAGUUAAAUAAUGGAGUUAAUUUUUUAAUCUGGCUCUUUAUUUUCAUGUUUUACUUUAAUGACAAGCAUAGGCAAAACAACAUGGCAUCACUUCCAGGGCUCGACAUUAAGCUUUGACAUGUGCUUGUCCUUCGGACAAGUAAAUCAGUCAUUCACUUGUACGAGUAAAAAAGUUACUUGUCCGGGGGAAAAAAAUUGUUUUUUUUUUUGUCUUUUUUCUUUUUGCCGCAAAUGUAAUUUAUUCUGAAGCAAUAGUCUCAUCAGUGCUCUAACAGGUAUGACUUUAAUCAGCAUAUUUGUGAUAUUUGCCUUAAAUUGAUUGCUGUUACACUUUUUAACUUUAUUAUUUAAACUGAUUAAAUGUACACGUCACCAUUUACAUCAAAUUCUUAAAUUUGAUCAAUACAUUAAGCUAGAAUAAUAAGACAGUAUAUGGUUUUUACUACUGAAAUGAAAUCAGUAUCAACAAACUCCAUCUUUCCACUGCAGAGGAAACACAGAAGCAGCAUUGAAAGUGUCAUUUAGAUGUAUUUACUCAGGCUGUUUAAUGAAAAGGAUCCAUAAAUUAAUUUACUCAAAACUGCAGAUCCAUAAAUAAUGUUAUUAGAAUGUUUUUGACAUACAAAUAUGAAAUGUUGGAAAAAUGCAAUGAAACUUUUAAAUAUGAAAUUAAACCACCAAGUGGCAAGUCACUGUCUUCAUGAGUGAAUCACUGAUUCAACCGAUUCAUUCAAACGGCUGAUUCAUUCAAUAAAUGAAGCAAGUGACUGACUUUAUGAAUGACUCACUGAAUCAAUGACUCGUUCAAAAAUGCUGAUUCAUUUAGUAACGAAAUACUGUUGUGUGUUGCUCGGAGAUGCGCGACUGUUCUGCUAAAGCUUUGCUUAGAACUAUUUUCAUGUGCGAAAUGGAGCAAAAACUAUCAAUAUUGUGUCUAAAAUGUAAGUCAGUUAAUUAUUACUUGUUUAUUUAACUAAAGUUGUAUAAAAUCAAUAUCACAUUUGCAAUCGAGCUGAAAGUCAGGAAAACAUCACUCUUAGAUAGAAUAUUUAUCUUUUUUUUUCUACCGCAGUAUGUAUGUUCAUGUUUGUUUCUAUGUGUGUGCUGUUGCACUUAUAGUUUUGAUUUCCAGCUGCACGAGCCUCAACUGACGUGACCUUGAUACUGUCAGUACAUUAUCCAUUAUUAGUCACCGUUUACACUGAAAGUAAAAAAAUCAGAAUCAUUCUCACCAAAGUUUCGGUGCCGCCCUAGUUAUUGUUUGUUAUUAAAAUUUUAAUCAGGAUACUUGUCCGAUCGGGCAAGUAAAAUUCUCUUUCACUUGCCCCUUCACAAAAUCCACUUGUCCCGGACAAGCGGACAAGCACUAAUGUGUGUUUCUGGGCAGUUUCUAGAUCUCUUAAAUAUAGAAGACCUUGGGUGCUUUUAAUGUACAGUAUAAAUGUGUUCAAAUGUUUUAACAUUAAAAAUUAAGCAAUUAGCUACAAGAGGCAAUUCUGUAUUGUAAAUAUGAUCACUGCUUAAGGAAUUUGCUAGGCACAGUGUUUAGUCCUUCAGUGUAAUCACAACCUUGAAUGCCUUUUUUCUUUUAUGAAAUGGUUAUUAAAUUCAUAAAAAUAUUAACAACACAAAUUUAUGAUUUUUUUUUCACUUAGCAAAUUCAUUAAGUUCCAUCCUUCCUAUGCUUCUGUCUAACAUAACAGAAGGUUGCUAGGCAACAAAAAUAACAGCUAUGGGUGCUGUAGUGUUAUGGUAAGCAGGUGCUUUUGCUUUUACUACAGUAUAUUAGGUGUUUU
ensembl:lncRNA